CCUACGGGGGGCAGCAGUGGGGAAUAUUGGACAAUGGGGGCAACCCUGAUCCAGCCAUGCCGCGUGUGUGAAGAAGGCCCUCGGGUUGUAAAGCACUUUCAGUGAGGAAGAACGCCUGGUGGUUAAUACCCAUCAGGAAAGACAUCACUCACAGAAGAAGCACCGGCUAACUCCGUGCCAGCAGCCGCGGUAAUACGGAGGGUGCGAGCGUUAAUCGGAAUUACUGGGCGUAAAGCGCGCGUAGGUGGCUUGAUAAGCCGGUUGUGAAAGCCCCGGGCUCACCCUGGGAACGGCAUCCGGAACUGUCAAGCUAGAGUGCAGGAGAGGAAGGUAGAAUUCCCGGUGUAGCGGUGAAAUGCGUAGAGAUCGGGAGGAAUACCAGUGGCGAAGGCGGCCUUCUGGACUGACACUGACACUGAGGUGCGAAAGCGUGGGUAGCAAACAGGAUUAGAUACCCUUGUAGUC
rnacentral:rRNA from 1 species